AUCUAAAUCUCCGGCACCAACUCCUUACUACUACAAGUCUCCACCACCACCGCCUAAAUCUCCCACGCCAACACCUUACUACUACAAGUCUCCUCCCCCACCAACAAAAUCUCCGGUUCCAGCUCCUUAUUACUACAAAUCUCCCCCACCACCAACUAAGUCUCCCACUCCGGCUCCUUAUUACUACAAGUCCCCACCACCACCUUCACCAUCACCACCACCUCCAUACUACUACAAAUCACCACCACCACCUGUCAAGUCUCCCACUCCCGCUCCUUAUUACUACAAGUCCCCACCACCGCCGUCACCAUCUCCACCACCUCCAUACUACUACAAAUCACCACCACCACCCGUGAAAUCUCCAACUCCAACUCCUUACUACUACAAGUCUCCACCCCCACCGUCACCAUCUCCUCCCCCACCAUACUACUACAAAUCACCACCACCACCCGUGCAUUCACCUCCACCACCUUACUACUACAAAUCACCACCCCCGCCAGUGCACUCACCUCCACCACCCUACUACUACAAAUCACCACCACCUCCUUCGCCAUCUCCUCCACCACCAUAUUACUACAAGUCCCCACCUCCACCAAGUCCAUCCCCUCCACCUCCAUACCAUUACUCAUCACCUCCACCACCUGUGAAAUCCCCACCACCUCCAUAUCAUUAUUCCUCACCCCCACCACCUGUCAAAUCCCCGCCACCUCCAUAUCAUUAUUCGUCACCCCCACCACCAGUGAAAUCCCCGCCACCUCCAUAUCAUUAUUCGUCACCCCCACCACCAGUGAAAUCCCCGCCACCUCCAUAUCAUUAUUCGUCACCCCCACCACCAGUGAAAUCCCCGCCACCACCAUAUCAUUAUUCAUCACCACCACCCCCCGUCAAAUCCCCACCACCUCCUUACCAUUACUCUUCACCACCACCACCAGUAAAAUCUCCACCACCUCCAUAUCAUUAUUCAUCACCUCCACCACCAGUGAAAUCCCCACCACCUCCAUACCACUAUACGUCACCACCACCUCCAGUAAAAUCACCACCACCCCCAUAUCAUUAUUCAUCACCUCCACCACCCGUGAAGUCCCCACCACCACCAUACCACUAUUCUUCACCACCACCACCAGUAAAAUCCCCACCUCCUCCAUACCAUUACUCAUCACCUCCCCCACCUGUGAAAUCACCACCCCCUCCAUACCACUACUCUUCACCACCACCACCAGUCAAAUCCCCACCUCCUCCAUACCACUACUCUUCACCUCCACCACCGGUGAAAUCUCCACCUCCCCCAUACCACUACUCAUCUCCACCACCGCCAGUGAAAUCACCUCCACCACCGUACCACUACUCAUCUCCACCACCUCCCGUGAAAUCCCCACCUCCACCGUACCACUACUCAUCACCUCCACCACCCGUAAAAUCACCACCUCCUCCAUACCACUACUCAUCACCACCACCGCCAGUGAAGUCACCUCCUCCCCCAUACCACUACUCAUCACCACCACCACCAGAAAAAUCACCACCCCCACCAUACCACUACUCAUCUCCCCCACCCCCAGAGAAAUCUCCGCCCCCACCUUACCAUUACUCAUCCCCUCCACCACCCGUAAAAUCCCCACCUCCCCCAUACCACUACUCAUCCCCACCACCACCCGUGAAGUCUCCACCUCCCCCGUAUCACUAUUCCUCACCCCCACCGCCAGUGAAAUCACCUCCUCCCCCAUACGUCUAUUCAUCACCACCCCCACCUGUUGCAUCACCACCCCCACCAGUUUACAUUUAUGCUUCACCACCACCACCCACUCACUAUUAAGGUCCGACCGCUCAGCUAGUUCCAUCCAACAUUCAAGUAAGUUAACUCUUUUACUACAUGAACUACUAUUAGCUUGUUAUUCUCAUAAUAUUUCAAAUCUCACUAACAUGUUCAUAUUCAUAUACUAAUCCCUUCUUCUGUUAAUUUACAG
rnacentral:lncRNA from 1 species